AUAUAUAAAGUUAAGUAACUUUAGUCCACCUAUGAAGUGGAUAAUCACAGUUUUCCACAAAAAUCAAGCCCAGCUAAGCUACACUGUCAAGUGGAAAUCAUUAGAUCUGCAACUAAAAGACUCAUAAUCAAUAGAUCAACAUUUGAAACAAUUGAAAGAAUAAAAAAUGCAGAUGCAAUGCUGGACACCAAGGGUUUCAUUGGGUUUAUUUGAAAAUCAAAAUGCCCUGGGAUCAGGGACCUUAGUAUAUCAGAGACCUUGUGACUUCAUUACAAUCCAUUUGUCAACAACAUUUUGAUCUAUCCACUUGAUUACCAUAUAAUCUCUGGGUUUCCUAACAAAUUAAAAUUAGUGGACACUAUGAUGAGUCAUGAAACAUAAUUUGAAUGUUCCUGUGAGAUCGAUGGCAAGAUUCAGGUACAUUGGAUGACAAAGAGAUAUUUUCGUCAAAAAUAAAUAGAAUAUGUAACUUUUUUGGAGGCUGAUAUCAGACAAAAUCCUCAAGGAAUAUAAAGGAUGCAGGAAAUAACUUAAAGAUGGCAAUAGGAGGGCUCAAAGGCGCUGUGAAAUGUCUUUGGCAAGAGGGAUUAUGGAGAAUCCCAAGACAUUUUAUCCAUUCAUUAAAAGCGAGAGAGUAGCUAGGGAAAGGGUAGGGCCAGUCCAGGACAAUAGAAGGAAUGUAAUCAUGAUGGCAGAAAAAUGGGCAAGGUUUUUAAUGAACUGUUUGCAUCAGUAUUCACAAAGGAUAAGGGCAUUGAUGAUGGUGAGAUAUUAAAAAGGAGGUAUUGUGUGUAUUGAGAAUUUUUUAGAGACAAUUCUCAGGGACUGUAUUUAUUUACAUUUGGAUAAAGCAUGGAUUUAUUGGGGAAAGUUAGCAUAUCUUUCUGCCGAAGAUGUCCUGUCUAAAAUUCGAUACAGGUUUUUUUAUAAGAUCUUACAAAGAUGAUUGAUAAAGGUCAGGCAGUGAAUGUUAUCUACCUGAACUUUUGUGAAGCAUGAGGCCCCUCAUGGUAGGCUGGUCCAGAAGAAUAAGUCAAGUGGCUCUCAGGUGAGUUGGUAAGUUGCACUCAAAAUUGGCUUGGUCAAAUGAGACCAAGGUAGUGAUGGAGGAGCAUUUUUUUUGAAUCAAGGUCCAUGACCAGAGGUAUUCCACAAGGAUCAGUGCUUGGACUUCUGUUCAUGUAGUGAUCUGCGCAGACAUAGCUGGCUGAAGAGCCUGCUGUGCAAAGUCCAAUGUUAUAUUUAAGGAAUUAAUGGGUUCCCAUAAUGGGGAUGCUCAGACAUGUAAAUACGCACAAGUUGAGGGCUUGGAACUGGCUCUUAAUGCACAGUUUUUAUCUGUUUUCACUCCCAGCCCCUUCCCAUAGUCAUAUCACUCUUCUGUAUUAACUUUAACCAUUGUUACAUUCCUAGGUUGUCUGACAGCAAAAAGAGAGAGAAAAGUCAGCCUUAAGAAAAUAUGUUACUCAAACUGCACAAAAAUAUGCUUCAUAUUAUAAAAUGUAUAAUGCCUAAUCAUGUGAACAGGUUCAAUAUUUAUAUUUUGUGCACGUAGCCUGUAGAAUUCCAAAAUAUCAUAAAAUCCUUCAAUCUACUUCUUGCGUAUGGCGUGCACAGCCGUAGGACAACUUGUUCUAUUUGAUCUUAUUUGAUUGUGCACGCCAGGUUAAUUGCAUUCGUCGAAACAGGGCGGACCACGUGAAGGUUGCAAUCUCCCACCCCAAUCCUUCAAUGUGUCACUGUGUUAAAUAGUGAAAUCUUCAUUAGUGAAGAAUAGGCAUCAUGUAAUUUGAAAUACGAAAAAUGUUUGAUUUUAGUAAAUUUGUUGAACUUGUGGCCGGUUUGCUGAAGGCUACGUCUGUUACACUCUGGGCAGAUUUUGCCAUUUCCUUUUCAAUGUUCAUGAUUUUUGAAACUGCUAUAUGCAGUAAAUCUCUAGAUGAUUAAUUAUACUUCCAAUGCAUUAUCCUAUAAUUGUGACAGAGGUGGAUCAUGUGAUCUUAAUUCUGCUGAAGCAAUAACAACCGAGGAACUCAUCCAUCGUUUCCGACCCAACCUUGUUAUAAGUACAGUGAGGCCGUAUGAGGAAGAUGACUGGGCUGAGAUGAUUAUAGAUGGUCUUUCUUAUUUGUUUCAGAUUGUAGGACUGUGCAGCAGAUGCCAAAUGAUAUGUAUUAAUCAAGGCAAUGGGAAAAGAAGCAAAGAACCCCUACAGACUCUGUCUUCGUGCAGGGACAGAAAGAUGACCUUUGGAGCAUAUCUGUUUCAUCAGCUACCAGCAACCUCAGUGCAUUCUGCAUUUCUGACUGUAGGAUCCCAGGUUAUUGUGAAAAUCAAAGAGACACCUGCUGGACAAUGACAUCCUCUGCAGGAAUGAACAUGAAUUUCUCCCAUCCCCAUGAUUAAAACUUUACAAUGCAAUAAUGCAUAACUGUUCUGUUUUUGAGUCCUGAAAAUGAAGUUGAGGUUAAUUCAAGUUAACAUGCCAGAAGAUCCAUUACUAUCGGAUUGUUUCCAGAUUUUACAAAAGAAAAUGCAAAUGAUUUCCUAUUAUAAGUUCCUUGCUGAAUAUAAAUUUAUGAAUUGCAUCCCAUUUCAAAUUUAUUUUAUUUUAUUUAUGUACAUGACCAUGGUGUAAUUUGAAUGUUUUGAGGAAUUUGUGCAAAGAGUUGAGAUUUUUUUCCUCUUCACAUUAUACACUUUUGAAAAUAAUGCUGAUAAUUUUAUUCGUCACUAUUGAAAAAUAAAACUAAUAGUGAUAACAAAUAUUUGGAAAUUACAAAUUAAAUGUAAAUAGAUGCUAUAUUGUCAGAAUUUGGCUUGACGUGCAAUUAAAUCUGGAGUACUGUUCCUGA